rnacentral:rRNA from 1 species
UACGUAGGGGGCAAGCGUUGUCCGGAUUUAUUGGGCGUAAAGAGCGUGUAGGCGGCUUUAUAGGUCCGCUGUGAAAACUCGAGGCUCAACCUCGAGACGCCGGUGGAAACCGUAAAGCUAGAGUCCGGAAGAGGAGAGUGGAAUUCCUGGUGUAGCGGUGAAAUGCGCAGAUAUCAGGAAGAACACCCGUGGCGAAGGCGGCUCUCUGGGACGGUACUGACGCUGAGACGCGAAAGCGUGGGGAGCGAACAGG